rnacentral:rRNA from 1 species
GUGGGGAAUUUUGGACAAUGGGGGCAACCCUGAUCCAGCCAUGCCGCGUGUGCGAAGAAGGCCUUCGGGUUGUAAAGCACUUUCGGCGGGAACGAAAACGCCCUUCCUAAUACGAGGGGUGCAUGACGGUACUCGUAGAAGAAGCACCGGCUAACUACGUGCCAGCAGCCGCGGUAAUACGUAGGGUGCGAGCGUUAAUCGGAAUUACUGGGCGUAAAGGGUGCGCAGGCGGUUCGCUAAGACAGGCGUGAAAGCCCCGGGCUUAACCUGGGAGGUGCGCUUGUGACUGGCGGACUAGAGUGCGGCAGAGGGGGGUGGAAUUCCACGUGUAGCAGUGAAAUGCGUAGAGAUGUGGAGGAACACCGAUGGCGAAGGCAGCCCCCUGGGCUAGCACUGACGCUCAGGCACGAAAGCGUGGGGAGCAAACAGGAUUAGAUACCCCUGUAGUCC